rnacentral:ncRNA from 2 species
UGAAUCCGCGCGGGAGAGUCCUCAGCAGCAGUUCCGCUGGGGCGCCGAAGGAGCAAGUCCCUCCCUUGAAUCUCUCAGGCCCCGUUACCGCGCGGGCGAG